AAGGGAUUUAGUGCAUAUCAAAAAAUCUCCGCAGCUAUGCGGGUGAUUGCAUAUGGCGUUCCGGCUGACUAUGCCGAUAAGUACCUUCGCAUUAAUGAAGAUACUACAAUUGAGUCAGUGCGUAGAUUUGCAAAAGUGAUCAUCCAUGUCUUUGGUCCUGAGUAUCUUCGGGCACCCAACAAGGAUGACACAAAGAAAUUGAUGGCAUCUAAUGAGAGGAGAGGUUGGCCUGGCAUGCUAGGUAGCAUUGAUUGUAUGCAUUGGACUUGGAAAAAUUGCCCAAAGGCAUGGCAACGGAUGUAUUGUGGCAAGUCUCGUGAUGCAACAAUUGUGCUAGAGGCCGUAGCAUCCGAGGAUUUAUGGAUUUGGCAUUGCUUCUUUGGUAUGCCGGGCACUCUCAAUGAUAUCAAUGUGUUGCAACGGUCUCAUUUGUUUGCUAGGCUUGCUAGUGGUGAUGCUCCUGCUUGCAACUACACUAUC
rnacentral:rRNA from 1 species